rnacentral:piRNA from 1 species
UAAGAGUAAUAUUCAGGUAUUAAAUAAGUGU